CCCACUCCUAUCACGUUUCAUCAAUGAAUACAUCCCCCCUUCUCUGAAUCUUAAACUAUAAAAUUGUUCGUUGUAUCCUCUGAAAAUUCAUCUGUUCAAUUGUUUCAAUAACAAGCUUCUUAAAAAGAUCCAGUGAUAACAAUGGCUAUCUCCGCUGUUAUAUAGUUUGAGGCAGAGAGAAUAAGAUAAAACAGAUGAGAGAUCAGAUCCAUUGUUGAAAGCUCGCUUACGAUGCGUUUCGGAAGCAUGGUCUGGAAUCUUCUAAGACGGCUGACUUUAUCUCUGGAGAUAGCUUGAUGGGUUCGAUCACUUGCGCUGUUCUGUAAUCUGUUUCUUCGUUGAGGUUGAAUCGAAGAACAGAGGUUGGAGAACGGGGUUCUUCGUUGAGAUGAUUUCUUUAUUGCCAAUUAGUAUUAGGAUUACUGUGACAGAAGCAUCUGAAGGACUGAUAGUGGGAGCAUCUGAAGGAAGAGCAAUAGAGCAUUGUGACAAAGAACAUCACGUCGUGCUUUGUUUUUUUCCUUUUUGGAACUUUUUUAAAAGGUGGGUCAAAUGGUGAGUAAAUAAACCAAGUGAGUUGUAAGAUCUUUAGUUAUCAAGUCCUGCUUUGUUGAACACAAAGAUGUUAAAAUGGCUUUAUCAUGAACUGAAGAAGGAU